rnacentral:rRNA from 1 species
ACGACGCUGGCGGCGCGCUUAACACAUGCAAGUCGUGCGGUGUCGAAGGCAAGUCUUACGACAAGCCUUCGACACAGCGGCGAACGGGUGAGUAACACGUGAGUAGCUGUCCUAAGGAGGGGGAUAACGCCUGGAAACGGGUGCUAAUACCCCAUAUGCCUCGCAAGAGGUGAAAGUGUACUUGCUACAGCCUUAGGGUGUGCUCGCGGCCUAUCAGCUAGUUGGUGAGGUAACGGCUCACCAAGGCUAAGACGGGUAGCCGGCCUGAGAGGGCGACCGGCCACACUGGGACUGAGACACGGCCCAGACUCCUACGGGAGGCAGCAGUGGGGAAUAUUGCACAAUGGGCGAAAGCCUGAUGCAGCGACGCCGCGUGAGGGAUGACGGCCUUCGGGUUGUAAACCUCUUUCAGCAGGGAAGAAGCGCAAGUGACGGUACCUGCAGAAGAAGCACCGGCUAACUACGUG